rnacentral:rRNA from 1 species
UACGUAGGCAGCGAGCGUUGGUCGGAUUUACUGGGCGUAAAGAGUGCGUAGGCGGUUUUCUAAGUUUGGUGUGAAAUCUCCCGGCUUAACUGGGAGGGUGCGCCGAAAACUGGAAGGCUUGAGUAUGGGAGAGGUAAGCGGAAUUCCUGGUGUAGCGGUGAAAUGCGUAGAUAUCAGGAGGAACACCUGCGGUGUAGACGGCUUACUGGACCAUAACUGACGCUGAGGCACGAAAGCGUGGGUAGCAAACAGG